UACAGAGGGUGCGAGCGUUGUCCGGAAUUACUGGGCGUAAAGGGCGCGUAGGCGGGCCGCCGAGUCCGGGGUGAAAUCCUCCAGCUUAACUGGAGAACUGCCCCGGAUACUGGAGGUCUCGAGGGGGGUAGGGGCAUGCGGAACUGUGGGUGGAGCGGUGAAAUGCGUUGAUAUCCACAGGAACUCCGGUGGCGAAGGCGGCGUGCUGGACCCUUUCUGACGCUGAGGCGCGAAAGCCAGGGGAGCAAACGGG
rnacentral:rRNA from 1 species